GAUGAACGCUAGCGAUAGGCUUAACACAUGCAAGUCGAGGGGCAGCAUGGUCUUAGCUUGCUAAGACUGAUGGCGACCGGCGCACGGGUGCGUAACGCGUAUGCAACUUGCCUCACAGAGGGGGAUAACCCGUCGAAAGACGGACUAAUACCGCGUACACUUGGGAUAGGGCAUCCUGACCCAAGGAAAUGAAAUUCGCUGUGAGAUAGGCAUGCGUCCCAUUAGCUAGUUGGUGAGGUAACGGCUCACCAAGGCGACGAUGGGUAGGGGAACUGAGAGGUUGAACCCCCACACUGGUACUGAGACACGGACCAGACUCCUACGGGAGGCAGCAGUGAGGAAUAUUGGUCAAUGGGCGAGAGCCUGAACCAGCCAAGUCGCGUGAAGGAUGACUGUCUUAUGGAUUGUAAACUUCUUUUAUACGGGAAUAACCAGAGCCACGUGUGGCUCCCUGCAUGUACCGUAUGAAUAAGCAUCGGCUAACUCCGUG
rnacentral:rRNA from 1 species